rnacentral:rRNA from 1 species
UACAUGGGGUGCAAACGUUGCUCGGAAUUAUUGGGCGUAAAGCGCACGUAGGUGGUCUGUUAUGUCAGAUGUGAAAGCCCUCGGCUUAACUGAGGAAGUGCACCUGAAACUGGCAGGCUUGAGUACGAAAGAGGGUCGCGGAAUUCCUGGUGUAGCGGUGAAAUGCGCAGAUAUCAGGAGGAACACCGGUGGCGAAGGCGGUUCUCUGGGCCUGAUGACUGACGCUGGAGGAGCGAAAGCGUGGGGAGCGAACAGGA